CCCUUAGGUGUUCUGGGCCGCACGCGUGCUACACUGAGUGGAUCAGCGGGUCAGGUUGCGCGAAAGUGUUUCCUAAUCUUUAAAUCCGCUCGUGAUGGGGAUUGACGGUUGCAAUUUUCCGUCAUGAACGAGGAAUACCUUGUAAGCGCGGGUCAUCAUCCCGCGCUGAAUACGUCCCUGCCCUUUGUACACACCGCCCGUCGCUCCUACCGAUUGAGCGGUCCGGUGAGGCUUUGGGAUCUGAGCGGAAAGAGCGUUUCGCUGUUUCUGCCCGGAAAACUCAGUCGAACCUUAUCAUUUAGAGGAAGGAGAAGUCGUAACA
rnacentral:rRNA from 1 species